rnacentral:rRNA from 1 species
GAUGAACGCUAGCGGCAGGCCUAAUACAUGCAAGUCGGACGGGAUUUGGGAGCUUGCUCCCAAUGAGAGUGGCGCACGGGUGCGUAACACGUAUGUAACCUACCUUAAUCAGGGGGAUAGCCUCUCGAAAGAGAGAUUAACACCGCAUAACAUAUUUUUAUGGCAUCGUAGAAAUAUCAAAUAUUUAUAGGAUUAAUAUGGGCAUGCGGAACAUUAGCUAGUUGGUAAGGUAACGGCUUACCAAGGCUACGAUGUUUAGGGGAUCUGAGAGGAUGACCCCCCACACUGGUACUGAGACACGGACCAGACUCCUACGGGAGGCAGCAGUAAGGAAUAUUGGUCAAUGGGCGCAAGCCUGAACCAGCCAUGCCGCGUGCAGGAAGACGGCCCUAUGGGUUGUAAACUGCUUUUGUACCGGAAUAAACCCUUUUACGUGUAAAGGGCUGAAUGUACGGUAAGAAUAAGGAUCGGCUAACUCCGUGCCAGCAGCCGCCGUAA